rnacentral:lncRNA from 1 species
CUCUUGACCUUGUGAUCCGCCCAUCUUGGCCUCCCAAAGUGCUGGGAUUACAGGAGUGAGCCACCGCACCCAGCUCUUCUUUGAGUUUUUAAGGCCACAUAAGCUGUGGAUGUUAUAGAAUUUCUUAUUUCCCUGGGCAGCAACUGGGCCUCUAUUGAGACCCAAAUGCCCUCUUCAGAGGGAACUACGAGGUCAACAAGCACAAUCCCCACAUGUGCAGUGAAGUCUCCAUACGUCCACUCUGGAGGAGGAGAUGACAAGGCAGGGAGGCUGUCAUUUCCUACUUGGGCGGACCCUUCUAGGGGCGGUCUGCUCUGGCCCCUCCGCAAUUCCAGUCAGCAGCCUAGCAUGUCACUCUGGGAGGACCGCAGGAACUAGCAAAUCCAAUAUUCUGCUUACAAAUGGAGAGACGGAGGCCCCAAGAAGAAAGCUAAGAGGUACCAUCAUCAAAGGUAAGGUGAUGGGAAGCUGCCCCAUGCCUCGGUGUUCCACUAUGAGACAGAAGACACAGUGGUUAUAACUGCCACUUACCACUGAUUGUUAAACUCAACUUCAUUUCUUUUUAUUUUUUGCCUUUGCCAUGAUAGAUUUUAUAUCUUAUCACCACAACUGUGUGGUGAUGUGGUUUGGAUGUGUGUCCCCUCCAAAUCUCAUGUUGAAAUGUGGUCCCCAGUGUUGGAGGUGGGGCCUGAUGGGAGGUGUUGGAUCAUGGCAGUGGAUUCCUCAUGCAUGGCUUGGCACUCUCUCCUUGGUGAUGAGUUCCUGCUCUGAGAUGACAACUCAGAUAACUCCAUGCUGUGGUGCUAGCACCUGAGAGACCCAUGACCGAGAGAUCUGCCCCCACAUAUAAAUCCAGAGGGAUGGGGCUGGCCUGCUGCUUCUCUUCAAGAACCAGUAGAGGCUGACGCUGCAGAGAGGGCAGCACCCCAGGGUCAAGGAAAUCACCAACAGAGGGGACCAGCAGGGGUCACCUAAGACCCCAGAACAAGAGAAACCUUUCUUAAUUUGCCACAUCCAGUGAGUUCAAUAGAAGCCUCCUGUUUCAGCCAGGGGUCCCCAGGGAAGCAGAGUAACAGGACAUGCGUGGAUAUGGAAGUGGACAUAAGCACGGGAAUGGAUGAAUAUGGAUAUGGAUAUUGAUAUAGAGAGAGGUCUGCCUCCACCCCAAGAGGACCUCGUGGACGUGGUGCCUCAGGCUCCACCAUCCCCAGGAGAAGAGUGCCAUGCUUGGACUCGUUUUUGCUGUUUUUGGGACAGUGGUGCCAUUCCCCUCCCGUGACUGACUCCUGCGUGCAGUCCCUAAUCUGCCCAUCACCGCCGGGGCACUGUCCACAGCAUUCUGUUGAUUUCCUCCACACUGUCUAACACAACCUGAAACAACCUCAUCUGCCCACCACGUCUCAUCUGUGCCUCCCUGCCUGGAACGGAGCUGCAGGAAGGCAGCGAUGUUUGUCUGGAGGUUCCCUGUUCGCUGGUGCGGGUCUAUGAGGAGGAAACACACAGAAACCAAAAGAUGGAAUCAGGCUGUCUCGGGCCACUUCCUUCCGCCACAGCUCUGCCUGGAGUGCCAGCCCCAGCACAGGUGAAUACACAGAACCAGCGCCUCCCUCCUGGAGCUUUCCUGGGGAGACCAGUGAGGGUGAACAAGGAAGCGGAUAGAGAACUCCCCGCAGCGUAAGUGCAGUGGGGACAUUUGUGGCAGGGAGUGCCUGGGGAGGGUGGUCGGGGAAGGCUGCCCCAAGGAGUUAUCAUCUGAGCAAGACCCAAAAUUGUAAGAAGUAGCACGCGGCGCUCCCAGGGAAGAGCAUGCCAGGCUGGAGGCCCUGCGGAGGGGACAAGUUCAGCAGCUUGGAGGACCAGAGAGAAAUCCAGCUCCUGCCUCCUAACUCACACAGCCCUGGUUAUAGCCUUUUGUUAUCACGUUGGGGCAGUUUAGGCCUCAGGAAGCUGAAUCUCAAGACCCUAAUCUGACUGUGGGUCAGAAGAUCCUCAUUCCAGGGUGGGUUCUGCCUCAUCCCCUAGAGGAAGAAAUGCUGCCGAGAAGCUGAGAAGAGUCUGGGCCAGGCGUGGUGGCUCAUGCCUGUAAUCCCAAGACUGGGAGCCCAAGGCGGGCAGAUCACCU